rnacentral:rRNA from 2 species
UAGGGAAUCUUCCACAAUGGACGCAAGUCUGAUGGAGCAACGCCGCGUGAGUGAAGAAGGUUUUCGGAUCGUAAAGCUCUGUUGUUGGUGAAGAAGGAUAGAGGCAGUAACUGGUCUUUAUUUGACGGUAAUCAACCAGAAAGUCACGGCUAACUACGUGCCAGCAGCCGCGGUAAUACGUAGGUGGCAAGCGUUGUCCGGAUUUAUUGGGCGGAAAGCGAGCGCAGGCGGAAUGAUAAGUCUGAUGUGAAAGCCCACGGCUCAACCGUGGAACUGCAUCGGAAACUGUCAUUCUUGAGUGCAGAAGAGGAGAGUGGAAUUCCAUGUGUAGCGGUGGAAUGCGUAGAUAUAUGGAAGAACACCAGUGGCGAAGGCGGCUCUCUGGUCUGCAACUGACGCUGAGGCUCGAAAGCAUGGGUAGCGAACAGG